AACGAACGCUGGCGGCAUGCCUAACACAUGCAAGUCGAACGGGAUACGGACUUCGGUUCGGUGAGAGUGGCGGACGGGUGAGUAACACGUGGGAAUCUGCCCUUUGGUUCGGGAUAACCGCGGGAAACUGCGGCUAAUACCGAAUGCCCUCGUGAGAGGAAAGAUUUAUCGCCAGAGGAGGCGCCCGCGUCCGAUUAGGUAGUUGGUGGGGUAAAGGCCUACCAAGCCGACGAUCGGUAGCUGGUCUGAGAGGAUGAUCAGCCACACUGGGACUGAGAUACGGCCCAGACUCCUACGGGAGGCAGCAGUGGGGAAUAUUGGACAAUGGGGGCAAGCCUGAUCCAGCAAUGCCGCGUGAGUGAUGAAGGCCUUAGGGUUGUAAAGCUCUUUCACCGAUGAAGAUAAUGACGGUAGUCGGAGAAGAAGCCCCGGCUAACUUCGUGCCAGCCGCCGCAGUAAUAC
rnacentral:rRNA from 1 species